AUGAAGGUACUCAGGAGGUCGCACAUAUUCGAUAUCAGGCUUGAGCUGAGUCACCUGACUGUACACAGAACAUAUAUGCAGCUGUACCCGAAUACGUACCCGAGAAUUAGAGGAACACUAACAGCAGGAUCGGAAGAAAAAAAGAAGUGUUCGCAGACAGAAUUAUUCCAAUGCACGGGUGCACAUCGAGUUGUCCAGAUGCAGACAAAAGCUGUGGUGCCCACAAGGAAUGACCCCAGCCACAGGCAGAUGUGCAGGAAGCCACACAAAGGGAGAGCCUGAAGGAGGAUGCAGGACUCGGGGCCAAGGGCUUCCUGCUAGAGGGACGUUGGCUUCCAAGGGUGAAACUGUUGAGCCAACCAGUUAAAGGUUUCAGGUCAAGUUCUGGAGACUAGAAAGAGCACAACGUCCAUCCACCGCUGAUCCUUUUGCCUUCCACUAAGCUGGGCUUUAGACACUCAGAAGAGGGCAACCCAGGAAAGAAUCAUUUUGAUUCGGGUUAUUUAUUUGUUACUAUUGUUGGUUAAGGAGAUUGUGUUCUGAAGAAGGAUGGGUGGGGAGCAUAGAUGGAUGCCCUAACUCAAUGCUGGGAGAUUCCUAAUUCUUAAUGGGAACAUUCGGCUCCAACGAGGGUUCAAGAAGCCAGGGGCCCUUAUUUUGCCUCUUUCUCACCUUUCAUUGCUAAAUGCAGUCCUUAAAAAGAACCUUCGCCUAGCUCCACGCCCUCCUGUCCUCACUUCCAUCCCAAUCCCCUUUAUAUCAAAUAUGUCCACAAACGAACACUCCCAAGCAAACUGAACUAUUUUAUUACACUAAUUUUCUUUGUGGGAUAUUGGGGUAUUCUCACCCCCUCCUACCCAUUUCCAAACAGAAGCCACCAUCCUGAGAGUUUCAAAGAGUGGCUGUUCCAAAAGGCCUUAGCAAGUGCACAGGCUUGAUGCUACCUUCAGCUCCUUUUGCCUUCCAGACAGUAGCCACCACAAGUUUCCCCGCAAAAGAGGCAGGC
rnacentral:lncRNA from 1 species